rnacentral:rRNA from 1 species
AUGUGUCAUAAAGCUAAUCUGAAAUCAAAAAAAGUCAGUGUAAGAAGGCUAUACAGGCGUGAUGAUAUUUCAUCGUAUAAAGCUUACUCUUCAGAUAUCAGAGAGGUGUGCUACAGUGAAGAUAUAGUUAGUGUGCCUGUUGGGAUGAUAGAGGGAAAAUGUGAGGUUACAGAAAAGGAUGACCUUCCAAAUUCAAAUCUUCCAGUAGUAGUUGAGCACGCCUUUUACUGUGAACAUUUAUAUAAUCUUGGCACUGGAGCUCUCAAGCAACUACCGACCAAUGUUAAGUUCACCCUAGAAAGGAAGGCGCCUGCUUCGAGAAAGAAUAAAGGGAAGCAGAUUUGUGACGAUGAGCAAGACGGUUCGGAUAAACACAAGGAUGAAACACCAGAGAAUUGUCUUGCAACCCUUGAUAUUUUUGCUGGCUGUGGAGGUUUGUCUGAAGGGCUGCACCUAGCUGGCGCUUCACAGACAAAAUGGGCGAACGAAUAUGAAGAACCUGUUGGGCAAGCAUUUCUUCAAAAUCAUCCUGAAGCAGUAGUGUUUGUGGAGAACUGCAAUGUGAUUCUGAAGGCGAUAACGGAUAAGUGUGGUGAUGUUGAUGAUUGCGUAUCCACUUCUGAGGCUUGUGCGGGAGCAGCAAAACUUUCAGAUGAGAAGGUUAAGGAUCUUCCUAUGCCCGGUGAAGUUGACUUGAUCAAUGGUGGCCCUCCAUGCCAGGGGUUCUCCUGGAUGAACGGAUUCAAGCACAUCCCAUUGAGCAAGGUUCGGUGCGAGAUGAUUCCGGCAUUCCUAUCCCUUGCAGAGUAUUUCAGCCUAGGUUCUUCCUUUUGUCAAACGUCAGGAACUUUGUUUCAUUUAACAAGGGUCAGACCUUCAGACUGA